rnacentral:rRNA from 1 species
UGCAGUCGAACGAUGAAGCCGGAGCUUGCUCCGGUGGAUUAGUGGCGAACGGGUGAGUAACACGUGAGUAACCUGCCCUUGACUCUGGGAUAACUGCGGGAAACUGUAGCUAAUACCGGAUAUGACCUCGGAAGGCAUCUUCUGAGGUGGAAAGUUUUUCGGUCAAGGAUGGACUCGCGGCCUAUCAGCUUGUUGGUGAGGUAACGGCUCACCAAGGCAACGACGGGUAGCCGGCCUGAGAGGGUGACCGGCCACACUGGGACUGAGACACGGCCCAGACUCCUACGGGAGGCAGCAGUGGGGAAUAUUGCACAAUGGGCGCAAGCCUGAUGCAGCAACGCCGCGUGAGGGACGACGGCCUUCGGGUUGUAAACCUCUUUUAGUAGGGAAGAAGCGAAAGUGACGGUACCUACAGAAAAAGCACCGGCUAACUACGUGCCAGCAGCCGCGGUAAUACGUAGGGUGCAAGCGUUGUCCGGAAUUAUUGGGCGUAAAGAGCUCGUAGGCGGUUUGUCGCGUCUGCUGUGAAAUCCCGAGGCUCAGCCUCGGGCCUGCAGUGGGUACGGGCAGACUAGAGUGCGGUAGGGGAGAAUGGAAUUCCUGGUGUAGCGGUGGAAUGCGCAGAUAUCAGGAGGAACACCGAUGGCGAAGGCAGUUCUCUGGGCCGUAACUGACGCUGA